AGAGCGAACGCUGGCGGCAGGCCUAAAACAUGCAAGUCGAACGGACCCUUCGGGGUUAGUGGCGGACGGGUGAGUAACACGUGGGAGCGUGCCUUUUGGUUCAGAACAACUCAGGGAAACUUGAGCUAAUACUGAAUAAGCCCUACGGGGGAAAGAUUUAUCGCCAUUAGAGCGGCCCGCGUUGGAUUAGCUAGUUGGUGAGGUAAAGGCUCACCAAGGCUACGAUCCAUAGCUGGUCUGAGAGGAUGAUCAGCCACACUGGGACUGAGACACGGCCCAGACUCCUACGGGAGGCAGCAGUUAGGAAUCUUGCGCAAUGGGCGAAAGCCUGACGCAGCCAUGCCGCGUGAAUGAUGAAGGUCUUAGGAUUGUAAAAUUCUUUCAGCGGGGAAGAUAAUGACUGUACCCGCAGAAGAGCUCCGGCUAACUUCGUGCCAGCAGCCGC
rnacentral:rRNA from 1 species